rnacentral:rRNA from 1 species
AAGGGGUUCCACCAUCAGGUGGCCGCAGAGAAUAGGCCCAAGCGACUGUUUACCAAAAACAUAGGUUUCUGCUAAGUCGCAAGACGAUGUAUAGGAGCUGACGCCUGCCCGGUGCUGGAAGGUUAAGGGGAUCUGUUAGAGCAAUCGAAGCAGUGAACUUAAGCCCCAGUAAACGGCGGCCGUAACUAUAACGGUCCUAAGGUAGCGAAAUU